rnacentral:rRNA from 1 species
GACGAACGCUGGCGGCGUGCUUAACACAUGCAAGUGGAGCGACGAACCAGGGCUUGCCCUGGGGCAGAGCCGCGAACGGGUGAGUAACACGUGGGUUACCUGCCCCGUUGACCGGGACAACCCGAGGAAACUCGAGCUAAUACCGGAUGUGAUCUUCGGAUGAAAGGAAGCUUCGGCCUCCGCAACGGGAUGGGCCCGCGGCGCAUUAGCUUGUUGGUGGGGUAACGGCCUACCAAGGCGACGAUGCGUAGCUGGUCUGAGAGGACGAUCAGCCACACUGGGACUGAGACACGGCCCAGACUCCUACGGGAGGCAGCAGUGGGGAAUCUUGCGCAAUGCGCGAAAGCGUGACGCAGCAACGCCGCGUGCGGGAAGACGGCCUUCGGGUUGUAAACCGCUUUCAGUUGGGACGAAGCUUCGUCGGUGAAUAGCCGGCCGGAGUGACGGUACCUUCAGAAGAAGCCCCGGCUAACUACGUGCCAGCCGCCGCAGUAAAAC